CUCACUCACCUGCCUUGUCUCUCGGAUACCCUGCGACAGACAUAGCUACAACAGCACUGCAAAUAACUAUAAAAGGAGAGGUAAGCAUGAUGAGUGGUUUUAUGCAGCUAUGUUGAAUCCUUAUCAAUCUCAUUCCUAAAAUACAAGAGAAGCACGUUUCCACGAGGACAAUUAGUACCUUCCAAGUCUUUCUGGAAAGUGUUUUAACCCAUGCAAAAAAUUACUGAAAGUUCUCCUCGCUCACCCCUCUGGACCAAAAUUACACCUAUACUUGACAUAGUUGUGACAAAAUGGGCUUCAGCUACUCCUAUGGUAAGUAGGAAUCCUGAUGUCCAACAGCCAGCUGUGUUAACACAUGCACACAGCGUGUGAAGAGGUUUAAACCACCAUCAAAAGUGGUGGAAGUACAGCAGCAGCAGUCCAAUCAGAACCAUCAGCCGCUGCAGUUCAGGGAUCCCACCAGUAGGAGGCUAGACUUCACAAUUAAUAUAAAACUGCACCUCGACAGCCUGUGCAGUGGUGUGGUAGUUGUGUUGGGCCCAGGAUAUUAAAGAUACAAGGUGAGUAAAGGAAUAUAAUUUACUGGACCAAUUUCUGCUGGUGAGAUAUACAGGACUUCUCAGAUGUUUGUCUGUGCUCAAAUCCUUGUCCCUCUCACCAGCAGAAGCUGGUCCAAUAAAUGAUAUUACCUCACCCACCUUAUCUCCCUAGUACAGAAUGGCAUAUGGAUCUGAAACAGCAGCAUAGAAACCAUCACUAUAACAACUUUUGUAUUACUUCAAGCCUUUAAAUAAUUUCUAAAUAAAUUGGCAUAGGGUUCUCUCUAUUUUGGGACAGAUUCUAGGAAUCUAACUCCUCAGAAGGAAGAAUUUUUAUGUCCACAUAAAUGCCAUGUGAAGUAGUGGCUUUUUAAUCUCCUAACAAAAUUCAAAUCAGGUUUGGAAAACCAAAAGGCACAUUUUUUAAAAACAUUCAAUAAGUUAACUUAAUGAGAGGAUUCCUGACUGUAGAAAAUGUGUGUGUUUGUACACCCACACCGAAUUGAGCAAUAUCUGUAAACAGUAAAACAAUGGGCUAAAUGUAAGUGAUUUCCCAUGCUAAAAAUGACUCCAGCUGUUUAAAAUUGUGUAUACAGAGGAACCCCAUGAUGUGGCAGUUUGACAGGAAGUGCAGUCUUUUUUUUAGGCCCAAAGCCUAAUGACUAACUUUGUAAAGGUUUUUAGUCAAAUGGGAAGACUUCAUUCAGUUCUUAAAAGACAUGGUAUCUGUAUUUCUAAAUGUCAUUCCAUUGCUACCAUCUUCUUGGAAAAAAAAUACAAAGGGGAAUAAAUAUGAAAAAUGAUUGGCCUUUUAAAAUAAAUGAAGAGUUCUACAGAGCUUAAGCAAAAUUAAAAGAACUUUGAUUUUCAAAAAUAGUAAAUAUGUUUUUAAGAAUAGACUGAUGGCGGUGAAGUUCACACUGUGUCUUUUCUCCUCAGACCAAUAACAUUUCAACAGUGAGGGUUGUUUUUUGUUGACACUGUGUUCCCUGCCUCCUCUAAAUCCACAAUUUAUGCCAUCUUUUAAAAAAAUUAAAGAAAGUAACAUUUUUAGAAUAAUCUGUCAGUAGUCUUAUUGCUCUGAUAACUUUGAAAAUUUGACCAUGAAAAUAAGCAAAAGACCAGUAGUUAUGUGCAUUUUUAUAAUCAUUACAUACCACUGUGUUAAAAUCUAAAAAAAACCAAAAACCCACCACUCUAAGGAACUCAAUUAUUAAUAUUUUAUUGUAUAUAUUACAUAUAAUCUGUAUAUACAUUUAAUACACAUCACAAUUUAGAAAUUAAGCCUUAACUAGGGAACUUUUAAUUAAAUGCUUAAUGAAGACUUGCAUGAAACAGUAUUUUCCUCAUCUCAAAAACAUAUGAAACACUGUAUAUGCAUCACCCUAUUUAUGUCAACAGUAAAACUCCCAGUGACUUCAGUGGGAUCAAAGACUAGAACAGAAUUCUGAAAAAAGCAAAAAAAACUUAACUCACAGAAUAGAGUUACUCAGAGUGAAAGUAAGAGCACUACCUUUUCAUUACGGCCACUUUAGGAACCUGUUUUAAAAGGCACAUAACAAGCACUUUAAACAGUGACUUCCUUGGAGUUUGGA